rnacentral:rRNA from 1 species
AUUAGGGUGAACCCGUCUCUGUGGCAAAAGAGUGGGAAGACCUUGCAGUAGGGGUGAAAAGCCAAACGAGCCUGGUGAUAGCUGGUUGCUCAACAAACGAAUUUAAGUUCGACUUUAGGUUACACUAGCUAAACUUAAAACCCCAUAUAACCUAAAAGCUACUCAAUGAGGGUACAGCUUCAUUGAGUUGGGAUACAACCCAAACUAGAGAGAAAGAAGCAUUAAUUUACCAGUAGGCCUUAAAGCCGCCACCAAUAACAAAAGCGUCACAGCACAAAAACAACAGAUAUCACAAGCACACCCAACCUCCUAGAAAAUUAUUGAGCCAAACUAUAAUUAUAAAUGAACUAAUGCUAAAACUAGUAACAAGAAAAAUUCUCUACGCACCCCUGUAACCCAGAAAUAGAAAAACUACUGGACUUUAACAGACCAAAACAGGCACACACAACCAGUGUACUACCAACUGUUGAACCAACACCGGAGUGCCAUCAAGACAGAUUAAAAGUUAUUUAAGGAACUCAGCAAAACUUGUCCCAACUGUUUACCAAAAACAUAGCCUUUAGCCAACACAAGUAUUAAAGGUCCCGCCUGCCCAGUG